UUUUUUUUCUUUGAAACCUUUAACAAUAACAGUAAGGCCUCAUUGGCCAUUUUUAAUUGAAAAUAAACAAGCUAAAACAAAUAAACAAACUUUCUUCCAAUGAAAACAGCAAACUGGGAUCUUAGUGCGAGACGUGGAGCUGUUCUUUUGACUUCAUCAGUGACUCAAUGUUGGCCUGGAGGUUACUCACUGAUGUAAGGGACGUUUUAUGGAAAACCAUAAGUCAAGGCCCGGGGGCCGGAUCCGGCCCUCCAGGAGAAGGAGGAAGCAGAUUUUCCUGAUUGUUCUUCAGGAUGAGCAGGUCUGCAGGACGGCUCGGUUCUCUGGGUUCUGCCAAUGCUGUGAUUGAUCCGAUUUCCAUGAAGUUCAACAAUUCCAACUACUUCAUCUCAACACAACCUUGAAGAUGUGUAAAAAAAACACUGAACGCAAAAAUGAUACAAUUAUAAUGCGUUCAAAUGAUUUUAUUAACAGACAGAGAAACGAAGCCAAAAUCCCAAAGACUUUCAUGUAGAAAUAACCAGCUGUUCCUCAGUCAUUCUACUGGUCAGAAUAAACAUUCUGACUUCAAGAUCUUUUAAAGAUCUUCUUGAUUCUCA